rnacentral:rRNA from 1 species
GAUGAACGCUGGCGGCGUGCCUAAUACAUGCAAGUCGAGCGAACGGACGAGAAGCUUGCUUCUCUGAUGUUAGCGGCGGACGGGUGAGUAACACGUGGAUAGCCUACCUAUAAGACUGGGAUAACUUCGGGAAACCGGAGCUAAUACCGGAUAAUAUUUUGAACCGCAUGGUUCAAAAGUGAAAGACGGUCUUGCUGUCACUUAUAGAUGGAUCCGCGCUGCAUUAGCUAGUUGGUAAGGUAACGGCUUACCAAGGCAACGAUGCAUAGCCGACCUGAGAGGGUGAUCGGCCACACUGGAACUGAGACACGGUCCAGACUCCUACGGGAGGCAGCAGUAGGGAAUCUUCCGCAAUGGGCGAAGGCCUGACGGAGCAACGCCGCGUGAGUGAUGAAGGUCUUCGGAUCGUAAAACUCUGUUAUUAGGGAAGAACAUAUGUGUAAGUAACUGUGCACAUCUUGACGGUACCUAAUCAGAAAGCCACGGCUAACUACGUG